GUAGGUGGCAAGCGUUGUCCGGAAUUAUUGGGCGUAAAGCGCGCGCAGGUGGUUCGUUUAAGUCUGAUGUGAAAGACCCCCGGGCUCAACCGGGGAGGGUCAUUGGAAACUGGGGAACUUGAGUGCAGGAGAGGAAAGUGGAAUUCCACGUGUAGCGGUGAAAUGCGUAGAUAUGUGGAGGAACACCAGUGGCGAAGGCGAAUUUCUGGCCUGUAACUGACACUGAGGCGCGAAAGCGUGGGGAGCAAACAGGAUUAGAUACCCUGGUAGUCCACGCCGUAAACGAUGAGUGCUAAGUGUUGGGGGGGUUUCCGCCCCUCAGUGCUGCAGCUAACGCAUUAAGCACUCCGCCUGGGGAGUACGGUCGCAAAGACUG
rnacentral:rRNA from 1 species